AAGUUCUCCACAAUGCUAGCGAACGUAAUAUUUCAGCAAACUAACACGAAACUUUAUCAAAUUUCCAUAGAGUGCGCCUCACUUUACGCGAUCAUCGUUCCGCUCUCUUUAAACGCUUUACUAUUUUAAACUUUACAUUAUAUUUUAUUUCUCAGAGAACUGAAUAGCUGAAAGAAGUUUUUUCUUGAGGAAACACGAACCUCGUUAGUAUGAUAUUUUGUAUGUGUGUGUGUGUGUGUGUGUAGUGUAUAUUAUUAAAAGUCUUAGGCUCGUUCGCAGUAGUUUGCCUCUCAUCGUGAACAGGAACGUGUACGGAUACGGUGUGUCGAGUUGAUCCACUCAACAACUGGCCGCGUAGGCGAGGAGUAUCGCGAACAGAAUUAGGAUCCGCGCUUUCAGUGACCUGUUUCCGGUUGAGGAGCGAAGCACAUGAUUCGGUACCGGUGGGGGCGACGGUUCGCUCUUGUGCGUGUUUGCGAUUACAAACUGACUGCGCCAUUUCAUCGUGUAUUCCGGUGCUGUCCUUCCUAGAGCCUGCAAUCUGCGAACAGGCGGUGCAAGGACCUAGAAGCAAGAAAAAGAGAAGGACAAAAAGGAGAGUUUUGGCUAUCACGAAUUUUUGCCAAGAACACAAGAAUCAGCAAUGGUUGUGCAUCCUUUUAUUUCCUAAAAAAAGGUCACAUAGGCGGCUUUACGUCGAAACUAUGGAGAUUACGCUCUUGCAAUAUUUGCGUAGUAUUGCGCUUUUAAAAUUUGGGAUUACUUUAUUAAAACCUUUUAAAAGCUACAUGGACGGUAUUAUGGAAGCUGCG
rnacentral:misc_RNA from 1 species